rnacentral:misc_RNA from 1 species
AACACUGUUAACCUGCGGUACCUGCGGAAGGAUCAUUACCGAGUGUGGCCCCAUUUUUAAAACAAAUAGGGGUACCUCCCGUCCUUUGCAGGGCCCUUUGGGGCUUUUUGAACUUUGCUUCGGCGGGUUUUAUCCCGCCGGAACACCCUCAAGAAAAUCUUUUUAAAAAUACUGUCGUCUGAGCAUUUACAAAAUAAAACAAAACUUUUAACAACGGAUCU